AAGCGGUGGAUGAUGUGGAUAAUUCGAUGCAACGCGAAAACCUUACCUACCCUUGACAUGUCUGGAACCUUGCUGAGAGGCGAGGGUGCCUUCGGGAGCCAGAACACAGGUGCUGCAUGGCUGUCGUCAGCUCGUGUCGUGAGAUGUUGGGUUAAGUCCCGCAACGAGCGCAACCCUUGUCACUAGUUGCCAUCAUUGAGUUGGGCACUCUAAUGAGACUGCCGGUGACAAACCGGAGAAGGUGGGGAUGACGUCAAGUCCUCAUGGCCCUUAUGGGUAGGGCUUCACACGUCAUACAAUGGUCGGUACAGAGGGUUGCCAAGCCGCGAGGCGGAGCCAAUCCCACAAAGCCGAUCGUAGUCCGGAUUGUUCUCUGCAACUCGAGAGCAUGAAGUCGGAAUCGCUAGUAAUCGCAGGUCAGCAUACUGCGGUGAAUACGUUCCCGGGUCUU
rnacentral:rRNA from 1 species